AUUGAACGCUGGCGGCAGGCCUAGCACAUGCAAGUCGAGCGGGGUUUUCGGACCUAGCGGCGGACGGGUGAGUAAUGCGUAGGAAGCUACCCGAUAGAGGGGGAUACCAGUUGGAAACGACUGUUAAUACCGCAUAAUGUCUACGGACCAAAGUGUGGGACCUUCGGGCCACAUGCUAUCGGAUGCGCCUACGUGGGAUUAGCUAGUUGGUGGGGUAAUGGCUCACCAAGGCGACGAUCCCUAGCUGGUUUGAGAGGAUGAUCAGCCACACUGGAACUGAGACACGGUCCAGACUCCUACGGGAGGCAGCAGUGGGGAAUAUUGGACAAUGGGCGCAAGCCUGAUCCAGCCACGCCGCGUGUGUGAAGAAGGCCUUCGGGUUGUAAAGCACUUUCAGUAGGGAGGAAGAGUUGAGUGUUAAUAGUACUCAGCUUUGACGUUACCUACAGAAGAAGCACCGGCUAACUCUGUGCCAGCAGCCGCCGUAAGAC
rnacentral:rRNA from 1 species